GACGAACGCUGGCGGCGUGCCUAAUACAUGCAAGUCGAACGAACUCUGGUAUUGAUUGGUGCUUGCAUCAUGAUUUACAUUUGAGUGAGUGGCGAACUGGUGAGUAACACGUGGGAAACCUGCCCAGAAGNGGGGGAUAACACCUGGAAACAGAUGCUAAUACCGCAUAACAACUUGGACCGCAUGGUCCGAGNUUGAAAGAUGGCUUCGGCUAUCACUUUUGGAUGGUCCCGCGGCGUAUUAGCUAGAUGGUGNGGUAACGGCUCACCAUGGCAAUGAUACGUAGCCGACCUGAGAGGGUAAUCGGCCACAUUGGGACUGAGACACGGCCCAAACUCCUACGGGAGGCAGCAGUAGGGAAUCUUCCACAAUGGACGAAAGUCUGAUGGAGCAACGCCGCGUGAGUGAAGAAGGGUUUCGGCUCGUAAAACUCUGUUGUUAAAGAAGAACAUAUCUGAGAGUAACUGUUCAGGUAUUGACGGUAUUUAACCAGAAAGCCACGGCUAACUACGUGCCAGCAGCCGCGGUAAUACGUAGGUGGCAAGCGUUGUCCGGAUUUAUUGGGCGUAAAGCGAGCGCAGGCGGUUUUUUAAGUCUGAUGUGAAAGCCUUCGGCUCAACCGAAGAAGUGCAUCGGAAACUGGGAAACUUGAGUGCAGAAGAGGACAGUGGAACUCCAUGUGUAGCGGUGAAAUGCGUAGAUAUAUGGAAGAACACCAGUGGCGAAGGCGGCUGUCUGGUCUGUAACUGACGCUGAGGCUCGAAAGUAUGGGUAGCAAACAGGAUUAGAUACCCUGGUAGUCCAUACCGUAAACGAUGAAUGCUAAGUGUUGGAGGGUUUCCGCCCUUCAGUGCUGCAGCUAACGCAUUAAGCAUUCCGCCUGGGGAGUACGGCCGCAAGGCUGAAACUCAAAGGAAUUGACGGGGGCCCGCACAAGCGGUGGAGCAUGUGGUUUAAUUCGAAGCUACGCGAAGAACCUUACCAGGUCUUGACAUACUAUGCAAAUCUAAGAGAUUAGACGUUCCCUUCGGGGACAUGGAUACAGGUGGUGCAUGGUUGUCGUCAGCUCGUGUCGUGAGAUGUUGGGUUAAGUCCCGCAACGAGCGCAACCCUUAUUAUCAGUUGCCAGCAUUAAGUUGGGCACUCUGGUGAGACUGCCGGUGACAAACCGGAGGAAGGUGGGGAUGACGUCAAAUCAUCAUGCCCCUUAUGACCUGGGCUACACACGUGCUACAAUGGAUGGUACAACGAGUUGCGAACUCGCGAGAGUAAGCUAAUCUCUUAAAGCCAUUCUCAGUUCGGAUUGUAGGCUGCAACUCGCCUACAUGAAGUCGGAAUCGCUAGUAAUCGCGGAUCAGCAUGCCGCGGUGAAUACGUUCCCGGGCCUUGUACACACCGCCCGUCACACCAUGAGAGUUUGUAACACCCAAAGUCGGUNGGGUAACCUUUUAGGAACCAGCCGCCUAAGGUGGGACAGAUGAUUAGGGUGAAG
rnacentral:rRNA from 1 species